CAGUCGCCGCGGUAAUACAGAGGGUGCAAGCGUUAAUCGGAAUUACUGGGCGUAAAGCGCGCGUAGGUGGUUUGUUAAGUUGGAUGUGAAAUCCCCGGGCUCAACCUGGGAACUGCAUCCAAAACUGGCAAGCUAGAGUAUGGUAGAGGGUGGUGGAAUUUCCUGUGUAGCGGUGAAAUGCGUAGAUAUAGGAAGGAACACCAGUGGCGAAGGCGACCACCUGGACUGAUACUGACACUGAGGUGCGAAAGCGUGGGGAGCAAACAGGAUUAGAUACCCCAGUAGUCCCUGUCUCUUAUAU
rnacentral:rRNA from 1 species